CACGUAGGCGGACUAUUAAGUUGGUGGUGAAAUGCCGAGGCUCAACCUCGGAACUGCCUCCAAAACUGUUAGUCUUGAGGUAUGGAGAGGGAACUGGAAUUCCAGGUGUAGCGGUGAAAUGCGUAGAUAUCUGGAGGAACACCCAUGGCGAAGGCAGGUUCCUGGCCAUAUCCUGACGCUGAGGUGCGAAAGCUAGGGUAGCGAACG
rnacentral:rRNA from 1 species